rnacentral:rRNA from 1 species
AUACGUAGGUGGCGAGCGUUGUCCGGAAUUACUGGGCGUAAAGGGCGUGUAGGCGGCCUUUCAAGUCGGCUGUGAAAUUCCCCGGCUCAACCGGGGGGGUGCAGUCGAAACUGGGGGGCUUGAGUGCAGGAGAGGGGGGUGGAAUUCCCGGUGGAGCGGUGAUAUGCGUAGAUAUCGGGAGGAACACCGGUGGCGAAGGCGACCUUCUGGCCUGUUACUGACGCUGAGGCGCGAAAGCCGGGGGAGCAAACAGGAUUAGAUACCCUGGUAGUCCCGGCCGUAAACUCUGGGUACUAGGUGUAGGGGGCUUUGAUGCCUUCUGUGCCGUAGUUAACGCAUUAAGUACCCCGCCUGGGGAGUACGAUCGCAAGGUUGAA